GGCAGCUGACAGCAAAGAAACCGGAUAAAUCAUCCGCCCAGAUAGCUGCUCGCCAGGGAAUGUUGUCUUACAUUUAUUAUUAAUCACAAUUCAGACAGAGUUGUAGCCCAUUCAUUAUUCAUCACAAAAGUUGCGCUGGGCCCUCACCCAACGUUGCGCCGCCCGAGGGGGAAAGUGUGCUCCACAAGUGUCUUUAGCGCCUUAUCCUCUGUGGCAGCAUCCGCGGCGCCUCAGCCAGUAAUGUCAUUAACGCUGCUUCGGCUCAGGAGUUAAACAGGUACCGCAUUCUGAGUCAACCGCGCCGUCUCUUCCGACUUAAGCCCUUGAAAAGGCUUACCGUAUUCCCCCUCCCCGCCUGCGCGGCCUUCCCUUCUUCCCCGAAACGCGCGCGCCGUCUCAGUCUCUCUGUCAAACGUCAUUUGCAACGAAGUCUCUCAGGGCCUCGACACAGGCCGCUGUUGACUCUGAUUAUGAAAAUGAGCCCACGGCUUCACGCAGAGAGGAACGGUACAAGCAGGGCACGACGUUUCAAAGGGCGUCAUCAAAACCGUCGCGAAGGAGACAAACAGCGACGUGGUACAUGUUAGCUGCAGGCCUGUUUGGCCUUGAUGUUUUCUGGUCAUCACGAUGGAAAACAAGCUCCCAGCAAGAGCAACACAUCGCAUUGGACACGGCGCCAGCUGAACCUCCCUGGCCCUCCGGUUGCGAGGCUAGUAAACAAGAAUGGAGCAAGAUGAGGGACGGGUUAUGGCUCGCACCUUGACUGAAGGCAAACAGGAGCAGGGAGACUCCAAGGAGGGCACUGUCUUUACUUCCACUGGGCCGGAUGGAAGCGCA